rnacentral:rRNA from 1 species
GACGAACGCUGGCGGCGUGCUUAACACAUGCAAGUCGAACGGAAAGGCCCUGCUUUUGUGGGGUGCUGGAGUGGCGAACGGGUGAGUAACACGUGAGUAAACUGCCCUUGACUUUGGGAUAACUUCAGGAAACUGGGGCGAAAACCGGAUAGGAGCUCCUGCUGCAUGGUGGGGGUGGGAAAGUUUCGGCGUUUGGGGAUGGACUCGCGGCCUAUCAGCUUGUUGGUGGGGUAGUGGCUUACCAAGGCUGUGAGGGGUAGCCGGCCUGCGAGGGUGACCGGCCACAUUGGGCCUGAGAUGCGGCCCAGACUCCUACGGGAGGCAGCAGUGGGGAAUUUUGCACGAUGGGCGGAAGCCUGAUGCAGCAACGCCGCGUGCGAGAUGACGGCCUUCGGGUUGGAAACCGCUUUCGCCUGUGACGAAGCGUGAGUGACGGUAAUUGGUAAAGAAGCACCGGCUAACUACGUG